GCCCAGCAGCAGAUAAGCGGAGACAAAGCUGUGCUACAUCAUACACAACGGAAUACUACUCACCCACACACCCAGAAAGGAAAUCUUUCCUUUUGGAACAGCACGGAUGGAGCUGAAAAAUAGCACAUUGUGACACAUGCUACAACCUGGAUGCACCCUGAAGACAUGACUCAGUGAAAGAAGCCAGUCACAGA